GCAAAAACUGCAUUUUGUUGUACUUAUUAUAUAAACACAAUCGUUUCAUAUGGUACAAGUUUCAUUCGGUCGUUGGAAGGAAGAAAAAAAAGACUUAUUGUAUUUAUUUCGAAAAUAGGUCCGGCCAGAUUUAUAAAUAGGCUUUCUCCUAUACAACCAUGAUUGUUGCCACAAGGCCUACCACACAAAGUUACAAAACCAUACCAUUUGAAACGAAUCAAUAAAGACAGCUUCUUUGUCUUUUUCUUUGUCUUAGUCUUAGGCCGUAACCACUUCCGGUAGUCUACCA
rnacentral:lncRNA from 1 species